UACAGAGGCCUCAAGCGCUAGGCGGAAUCACUGGGCUUAAAGCGUGUGUAGGCGGAUGUCUAAGUGCCUUGUGAAAUCCCAUGGCUCAACCAUGGAACGGCUGGGCAUACUGGACGUCUUGAGCCAUCCAGGGGUCGCUGGAACAAACGGUGGAGCGGUGAAAUGCGUAGAUAUCGUUUGGAACGCCAAAGGUGAAGACAGGCGACUGGGGAUGUGGCUGACG
rnacentral:rRNA from 1 species